AUCGCUUCUCGGCCUUUUGGCUAAGAUCAAGUGUAGUAUCUGUUCUUAUCAGUUAAUCCCAAGAUAAGUGGCGGAGUGAGUGAGUGGAGGAAGGAGUGUGUGCGAAGAUUAACACUCCUUCCCUUCUCGUCUCCCUAGAUAUUUGAAAGAAUUCUCUUUAUCUGGGCCAUCCGACACCCCGC
rfam:Mesocricetus auratus contig177406, whole genome shotgun sequence.